CCCUUAGAUGUUUUGGGCCGCACACGCGCUACACUGGCAGGUUCAUCGAGCUUCAUGCCCUGAUCUGAGCAGAACGGGAAAUCUUUGAACACCUGCCGUGCUUGGGAUAGAUGUUUGCAAUUAUUCAUCUUCAACGAGGAUUGCCUUGUAAGCGCACGUCAUCAGCGUGCAUUGAAUACGACCCUGUAUUCUGUACACACCGCCCGUCGCUCCUACCGAUUGAAGUUUUCGGUGAAUUUACUGGAGAUCCCUUUUGAAGGUGGUUCGCCACUGGAAGAAGUAUUCAAAAGUAAAUGAAUCGAAUGCUUUAGAGGAAGGAGAAGUCGUAACA
rnacentral:rRNA from 1 species